rnacentral:rRNA from 1 species
AUUGAACGCUGGCGGCAGGCCUAACACAUGCAAGUCGAACGAGUGGCGGACGGGUGAGUAAUGUCUGGGAAACUGCCUGAUGGAGGGGGAUAACUACUGGAAACGGUAGCUAAUACCGCAUACCAUCGGAUUCGCCCAGAUGGGAUUAGCUAGUAGGUGGGGUAACGGCUCACCUAGGCGACGAUCCCUAGCUGGUCUGAGAGGAUGACCAGCCAAACUGGAACUGAGACACGGUCAAGACUCCUACGGGAGGCAGCAGUGGGGAAUAGUGCACAAGGGGCGCAAGCCUGAUGCAGCCAUGCCGCGUGUAGGAAGAGGGCCUUCGGGUUGUAAAGUACUUUCAGCGGGGAGGCGGUACCCGCAGAAGAAGCACCGGCUAACUCCGUGCCAGCAGCCGCGGUAAUUC